AUUGAACGCUGGCGGCAGGCCUUACACAUGCAAGUCGAGCGGAAGAAGGGAGCUAGCUCCUGAAUUCAGCGGCGGACGGGUGAGUUAUAUCUAAAAAUCUGCAUGCUUGUGGGGGAACUCGUCCGAAGAGGGGCGAUAAUCCCGCAUAAGUUCUGAGGGAGAAAGUGGGGCAUCAUCGGACCUCACGAUAUCAGAUGAGCCUAGGUCGGAUUAGCUAGUUGGUGGGGUAAAGGCCUACCAAGGCGACGAUCCGUAACUGGUCUGAGAGGAUGAUCAGUCACACUGGAACUGAGACACGGUCCAGACUCCUACGGGAGGCAGCAGUGGGGAAUAUUGGACAAUGGGCGAAAGCCUGAUCCAGCCAUGCCGCGUGUGUGAAGAAGGUCUUCGGGUUGUAAAGCGCUUUAGUUUGGGAGGAAAGGCAGUAAGUUAAUACCUGGCUGUUUUGACGUUACCAACAGAAUAAGCACCGGCUAACUUCGUG
rnacentral:rRNA from 1 species